ensembl:processed_transcript Gm15270 predicted gene 15270
CCGUCCCUUCCGUCAGUCCCGGGGCUUACCCGGGUGCAGAGGGCGAGGAGCACCAAGGCGAGGCUGAUGGGACCUGCGACGGAGGCGAGCAUGAUCGGGACGCGGUAGGAGGAUGCACAGCAGGGUGCAGAGGCGACGAGAGGCGCGGCCGGAGCCUGGAUUCGGACAGGGGCGGAGAACCCCUUGCAAUAUUCACUGUAUGUGAAGACAACAGACCAUAGGGACCUUGGAGAUCAUUCAGCGGAAACAUGAGACCACCCCCUUCAGAGUAUACGAGGUGGAAGACAGCGCCGAUGGGGUGUGGCUUCCUGCUCUGAUAACCUCAAGGUUGGUAUGCUGAGUUGCUGGUGACUAAGCAAAGCCUGACACAGCUUCACAAGAGGUCCCUCAAACUCUGACCACCAUGGAGACUUGGCAAUCCAUUCAGACUACUUUGAGAAGCAGUUCAAAACUGAUUUGUAUUCUAUG